GAUGAACGCUGACAGAUGCUUAACACAUGCAAGUAACUUGGGCGGACGGGUGAGUAACGCGUAAAGAACUUGCCUCACAGCUAGGGACAACAUUUAGAAAUGAAUGCUAAUACCUGAUACUGUGAGAGAGCUUUGCGUCCCAUUAGCUAGUUGGAGAGGUAACAGCUCACCAAGCCGACGAUAGGUAGGGGUGCUGAGAGGCAGAUCCCCCUGAAUGGGACUGAGACACGGCACAAACUCCUACGGGAGGCGGGAGUAAGGAAGAAUAGUCAGUGGAGGAAACACUCAGCCAGCCAAGUCGCGUGAAGGAGGAAUGUCUAAGGAUUGUAAACUUCUUUAGGGAGUGAGUAGGUAGCUCCAGAAUAAGUAUCGGCUAACUCCGUGCCAGCCGCCGCGGUAAUUC
rnacentral:rRNA from 1 species